rnacentral:rRNA from 1 species
UACGUAGGGUGCAAGCGUUAAUCGGAAUUACUGGGCGUAAAGCGUGCGCAGGCGGCUUUGCAAGACAGAUGUGAAAUCCCCGGGCUCAACCUGGGAACUGCAUUUGUGACUGCAUGGCUAGAGUGCGGCAGAGGGGGAUGGAAUUCCGCGUGUAGCAGUGAAAUGCGUAGAUAUCGAGAGGAACCCCUGCGGCGAAGGCGGGUUGCUGGGCUGACACUGACGCUGACAGCGCGAAAGCUAGGGGAGCGAACGGG